rnacentral:rRNA from 1 species
UAGGGAAUCUUCGGCAAUGGGGGGAACCCUGACCGAGCAACGCCGCGUGAGUGAAGAAGGUUUUCGGAUCGUAAAGCUCUGUUGUUAAGGAAGAACGAGUGUGAGAAUGGAAAGUUCAUACUGUGACGGUACUUAACCAGAAAGGGACGGCUAACUACGUGCCAGCAGCCGCGGUAAUACGUAGGUCCCGAGCGUUGUCCGGAUUUAUUGGGCGUAAAGCGAGCGCAGGCGGUUAGAUAAGUCUGAAGUUAACGGCAGUGGCUCAACCAUUGUAGGCUUUGGAAACUGUUUAACUUGAGUGCAGAAGGGGAGAGUGGAAUUCCAUGUGUAGCGGUGAAAUGCGUAGAUAUAUGGAGGAACACCGGUGGCGAAAGCGGCUCUCUGGUCUGUAACUGACGCUGAGGCUCGAAAGCGUGGGGAGCGAACAGG